rnacentral:tRNA from 1 species
UCCCUGGAGGUCUAGUGGUUAGGCCACAGUGCUCUCCCUGCUGGAGCCUGGGUUCGAUUCCCAGCCUGGGAA